rnacentral:lncRNA from 1 species
UGCACCCCACCUCCUAAAGGUUCUAUUAUCUGCCUUCACUAAGAUACAAGUCUUUCAACAUAUGGGGUUCAGAGAGACUUUUUAGGUUCAAAUUGUAAUAGCUUUUUGCAGACAUUGUAGUGAAUACUAGUAUUUAUUCACUGGACAGUAUGUAUUCAGCAUCGGUCCCAUAGUAGUGCUGGGCCCUGGAGAUCAGGGGUCAAGAGAUAACCCUUGACUACAGUGUGUCAAGGAGUCUGGGGCUGGGGUGGAGCUCAGUAUAACCCCUUGCAGAGGAUGUUCAAGGUCUUAGGUCCCAUCCCUAGCACAGCAACACAAGACAGACAGACAGACAGACACAAAGCCAAAGGAGCGAACCCUACUGAGAUACAGAGGCAAGAACUUGAUAGCCCUGUGCUCAAGGAAAAGUUGUAGCAGAAGUGACAGUAAAGGAAGAGUGGGGUGAGAGUAGGGGUGCCAGUACCAGGACAAAACUGGAGAUAAUAAAAGGACCGUAGUGCCUUUAAGACCCCAGGGAAAUGAACUCAUGUAAAUGCUCUCUUCAUCGUCAACCUGACAAGAUUUUGGAAUCCCGAUGAAAACACACACAUAGGCGCCAGAUCUCAACAACGAGGAGAGGAGCUAAUUGCAAAUGUGUACCGGGAAUGCAAUUAAUAAAACUGUCACAGAAGAUUUUAAAAAGAGAGUAGAAAAUGUCCUGGUCGCAGCAUGGAAGGCAAUUGGAGAAGUUAAGUGGCGGGUGCUGCGU